AUGAGAGACAUCACUUGGCAGGCAAGAUGAAAGGAGUAUUUAAGAUUCUCUUUAUUCUGUGAGUUGUAAUUCACAGUUCCUGCUGAUUAGCAAUGAGCAAUAUUUGAAAGGUUGACUGUUAUUUUGAUGUUUGUUUGCUACACUUAAGAAUAACUUUCCUCCAUGUGUGGCUUACUGGUGAAUGUAAAGCACUUGUUUUUACAGAAGAGAGAAAUAUUUAGGGAAGAGCUAUGGAUCUAAACAUUCAAAUCUAAAUUUACGUGCCAUUUCUCUUUAAUUGAGAAUUUCCCUGAAGGAGGGAAGGUGAUACAUCUGUGGAGGUCAGGCCAAACGCCUGAGUUCACUGGAGCACAGAGCAGCAGGGCACAGCAUGGAGGUGGUCAGAAUAUCUUGGCAGCUGACAGUUUUGGUGUCUGAAAUGGCUUUCCAUGUUGUAUCCAGUGUGAGAAUACAGAAAAUAGGAAAAAAAGAAAACAGGCCAAGGACUGCGAGCAAUCACCACAAUUUAGGAGAGAGGAAAAAGGGAGCCUUCUCCUUUAGAGCCUCCGGGGGAAACCAACCUUGUUGACACCUUGAUUUUGGACUUCUGGUCUGCUGAACUGUAAGUGAAUACAUUUCUGUUGUUUUACUUUUCCAAGCUCAUAGUAAUUAGUUAAGUUAGACUUAGAAAACUAGCACAUCCUGGUGGGUCUGAAAAUAGAUAUGUGAGAAGUUUACAGAGUUUAGCCUCUUUUUUAUUUUGGUUUUCAAGUAGUUUGUUACAUAGAGAAAUUCUCAACAAUGUUUUUGAAGCCCGGUAAUGGACAAUGCGGUCACUGGCCGUUCAUUAUCUGUUGCCUGAAAGACCUUCUCCUCUGCAUUUGGCUUUCUUGGACACUUAAGGCUUUUUGUAUUUCCUUGGUUGACUCUCAUUUCCCACUUUGACCUUCUGUUACUCCUUAUGCUAUUCACUCUUCCAUUACUCUUUCAACAACAAAGUUAUGUGAGCAUUUUCUUUCUUUUUUCCUUUCCUAUGCUCAACAUAGACAAGAAUUUUAUUUUGUCUCAAAUAGCUGGCACUAGUACUGAAUAACACUUGUAAUUUCUGUCUCUGUCCAAGCACAGAAGAAAAAUCUGCAGGCAGACUUUGGUAGGCUGAGUAAUUUGUUAACAAAGAAUCAACCAGCAAAAACUAUACAAACAUAGAUGUAGACAUAUUUGUGUGUGUUGUGUGUAUGUAUGCGUGUGAGUGCUUCUCCUAUAAUAAUGGGUAAAACAGUUUCCACAGUAUUCCUGCUUUGACUCUAUUGUUUUGAGUUUUUGCUUUCAAAAGCCCAAUGAGAAAUCAGUUUCUCAGCACAGCUGCUCCACUAGCAAUAGAAUAAAACAGGGGUAGCUUUAACA
rnacentral:lncRNA from 13 species